rnacentral:sRNA from 1 species
CUCAGAUGCUGGUCAAAUGUCCACUAUUCAAAUGUCGGUUUUUUAUUAGUCUCUGUGUAGAGCCUUCCAAAUGUUGGGAAUCACACCGAGAACUCCCAGGCUCCAUGUCGGCGGUUGCGAUACUGAUAGUUAUCAACCGCAACAAGGAUACUUGAGAAGCCUGAUAUCAUAGAUUUGAGCGUCAUGAGGCAGGAUUAAUGUGACUGGGAUAUAUAUCCACACCCUGUCUGUUGAAGACGGUAUCUGCCCAGUGGUGAAGGGUAGUUUGAAAUAGCACUUCUUGAAGGCUUUUUGGUUUGUUUUAGAGACUCCUUUCUAUUGGUCCAAAGCGUUGGCCGUCUGGGUGGGUUAUAUUUGGUUUGUUAUGCUAUGUGCGGGCCGCCCAGGGCUGCAAGGGGUAAGAGUCUAUAUGGUAAUCAGCAUCAUUAAAUAAGAAU